rnacentral:rRNA from 1 species
GGUACUUGUACCGACUGGAUGAGCAGCGAACGGGUGAGUAACGCGUGGGGAAUCUGCCUUUGAGCGGGGGACAACAUUUGGAAACGAAUGCUAAUACCGCAUAAAAACUUUAAACACAAGUUUUAAGUUUGAAAGAUGCAAUUGCAUCACUCAAAGAUGAUCCCGCGUUGUAUUAGCUAGUUGGUGAGGUAAAGGCUCACCAAGGCGAUGAUACAUAGCCGACCUGAGAGGGUGAUCGGCCACAUUGGGACUGAGACACGGCCCAAACUCCUACGGGAGGCAGCAGUAGGGAAUCUUCGGCAAUGGACGAAAGUCUGACCGAGCAACGCCGCGUGAGUGAAGAAGGUUUUCGGAUCGUAAAACUCUGUUGGUAGAGAAGAACGUUGGUGAGAGUGGAAAGCUCAUCAAGUGACGGUAACUACCCAGAAAGGGACGGCUAACUACGUGCCAGCAGCCGCGGUAAUACGUAGGUCCCGAGCGUUGUCCGGAUUUAUUGGGCGUAAAGCGAGCGCAGGUGGUUUAUUAAGUCUGGUGUAAAAGGCAGUGGCUCAACCAUUGUAUGCAUUGGAAACUGGUAGACUUGAGUGCAGGAGAGGAGAGUGGAAUUCCAUGUGUUAGCG